UCCACUAGGAUAGGAUGUGGAGUCCUGUCUUGUUUGAUGAUAUGAAAUGCCAUGAUUAUAUGCAUGUGCAUUAAUGAUAUGUGAUGUAUGUGAUGAGGGUUCAUGUGUGCCCACAUGAACCAUAUGAUGCUAAUGUUUGCUUGUUGUGUGCUGCCUUUCAGAAAACAGGAUGAGGGGAACUCGUCGAUCUGCACGAUUGACUGGAGUGCCACCUGAGGAUGAGGGCACGAGCGCCCGUCCUCCUGCAUUGCCUAGGG
rnacentral:lncRNA from 1 species